UUCCCAGCAGAAAACUCUACAUCAGAUCAACGGAAAGAUCGUACACGUCCGUCACUAUGAGUAACAUAGCUCGAAAAAUAACUAUUUUUAAAUGAAAAUAAUAUAAUAAGAACGAUUUGCAUGAGUGUAGUUGGGAUUUCUAGUGACAUUAUACUGCCCGUCACAGUAGUAUUUUGCUAGUUUUUAGGUUUCUACGCGAUGAUGACCCAUAAAGAAACCUUAACGUUUCCCGAUGGCCAUUUUACAAUGAUUUACAAUGGUGAUUUCUUCAUGUUGCUGUGAGUGACAAUGUUGAAGUCGCCUGUCAUACCUAUAUGACGAAGCUCAACGGAUAUCGAAAGCGACCAUGGGCAGUUUGAUAAGCGGUCAGUUACCAAUUGGUUUCAUCUUGAUGAUAGUCGUUGCCGUUUAUGCUUUAAUGUUCAGUACGUGUACGGUACACGGUUUGACAGGUAAGCGUCCAAACAGGCGUAUUUCGAAGUGGAUCCGAACAGCUCCGAGAUGACGGCGAAGGUAACGUCAAAUAGCGGCGUCUUUCCGCUAACUGUGCAAUGAUCACUUUAAAAUGAACCAAACGGUAUAAGUAGUGGUGCAUGUAUGUUCGGCCCAAUGCAUUUUCUAUUGAAAUGCACAUUUAUUUUGCCUAGUUUUUCAUCGAAAUAAAGAAAACUUACAGCGGUACUUAAACGAGCUAGAAAUGUAUGGACGACUCAAUCAUGCGUUUUGCAUUACAGGAAGGCUGUACGAGGAGGACGUUGCUCUCAUUCCCUAUGGUGUUAUUCAGAACUUAUUAGAAUCAUUGGCAUUGGUCAGUUCUAUACCAUGUAUAGUCGAAGUCACUAAUUUUCUGGAAGAUCUUUAAUUUGAUAACGCUUACAUGAUACUUAAUCAAUAUUUUAGCUAUAUGGCCGUUUACGCAAUAUUACGACCUAAAAAAGGCACCUCUAAAAGAAAGAUUUAAAAACCCAUAUUCACAUCAUUGUGAAUCGAAAUAUGAACCUCAAACUAAGUUUGCCAAGGGACCGACUGGAUACCCCAGAACUGCCCAUACAUGCAUAUGCAGAAAAUGUAUACACUCUAUAAAGGAUGGGUUCACGUUUGUCUUUGAUAUAUAUCCAGGGAGCAAAUUGCGGGGGGAAAUUUUAAUAUUGAAGUGGCAAAGGACAGUUGACAUGAAGAUGUCAAUCCAUCCACUAUUUCAAUUAAGAGUUCGGAUAGGUAUGAACUAUCAAAAUAUGUUCAAGCCUGGAAUUUGUGAAAGUCACCCAGACAAUAAAGCAUGUCCUGAGCAUAUAAGCUCCUGGGUGACCGUCGCCGUUAGUUUGUCGUUUAACCGACGAAGAGCUGUGGUUUAUUGGAAGAGCUAUGAAAGUAAUCGGAUCUUUAUACUUACAUAUCACCCAGUAACAGAAAUGUCGAGAUAUUUCAGGCCUGCUGCAAAAAUUCUCAAUAGACCUGGUACAACAUUAAUAAAAUUUACUGCAGGAUGUCGCAGAGGAACACUCAUUGCCUGUUUUAGCGUCUUCUCUAAGUUCAUAUCCUACAGAGUAUUUGGUCGGUUCAGAAAUGGUUGUCCCUGGAAACCAACGGAUGCACUAGUGAAUCACGUGAAGCCCCAAAAUGCAGAUGCCGAUUGCUCAUCCUCGACACUAGGGACAAACCACGUCAACAACCAUGUUUUCCAUUCUCGUUGGAGACGCCGCAUUGGCUGCAUUGCAUAACACGAUUGUUGGACCUGGAUUUACAGGAAAGUCCCUAACUAUUACGAUAUCCCUUCAACGACCGAUUACGUAGUUAUUAGCGCUAAAAAAUCAGACUGGCUGUGAACAAUUGAACUAAUCCAUCAAAAUAACCCCAAUAAUCUGAAAUCUGACAGGUUAUAGCAACAAAGCCGACUACGCUAACAUUAUGUUCUAUUAGCAUCACACACUCUCUUAAACAUGUUUAAGGUUUGGAUUCACACACAGCUAGCACUUUUGACAAGCGGCGAUCCACUCAACUCAUGCUUUUUGCACACCAUUUACAUUACAUGCAAAUCCACCGGACCUCUACAACGACAUAGAAUUGUAUCAGCGAUGUCGAUUUGAUCGGCAAACAAUUAAUCCGACUGCUCGAUUUCCCGAUAUCAUCGGUGUGGUUCAUGGAACACAUAUUUGGAUACUACGACCUUCGUUUCACGAGUGGAGAUAAUAUGUAACAGGAGAAGACUCGUAUUCCAUCAAUGUCGACGUUUUUUUCAAUGCAAAUUUUAGGUUUAUCAAUGUUGUGAUUAGAUGGCCCACUAGCACCCAUAACCCCGUUGUGCUCAGAGAGAGCGCAGAAAUCGAUAUCAUGAGAUCUUGGGAAGGGGAUGAGAUCAUCCUUGGUGACCGUGGGUAUCCAUUGCGGCCUUGGCUGAUGAUACCAUUUUUGAACCCUAAGACCCCCGGGCAACGACGGUACAUUCGGUCUCACAGGAAAACUCCGUGUUUAGUUGAACGGAGCACCGGAAGGCGAUGCAGUCAUUCUUGAUGACAGUGGUGAUCCAUUGCCACCUUGACUGAUGACACCAUUCUUGAACCCUCACACACCCGGGCAAAGACGGUACAAUCGGUAUCACUACAAAACUCGGUGUUUGGUUGAACGGGACAUCGGCCAAGGGAAAAGGCGAUUCCACUGCCUGCAUGGAUAUAUGCGUUAAGCACCGGUGAAAGCCAGUGCAAUUAUUACUACGAGUGCAAUGUUGCACAACAUUGCUAUCAACAGAGCUCUUUCGGAUUUUGAUCCAGUAGACAAAGAGGAUAUCAAACAUCGGCCACAACCCGAUGAUGAUAGGAACGAUGAAGAGAAUGUCGUACCAUUUGGAGAUGCAAAUGCAACUGCCACAAGAAAUCACAUUGUCCAGCAACAUUUCUGAGGCACGUGUGUCUCUUCCUAUUCAAUAUAGCUGCUCUGGUGUACAGAAAUUGCUUUGUAAUUUGCACAUUUGAAUGCCAACGAUCAAUGAAUAUCGAAUUAAUUCAUAGGCACAAAUCAACAAGAAAUAUGAGACUGGUCUUUUGAAGAAAGAUUAUUGGUGCACUCAAACUUAAGUGGUCAACCUGGUUGAGUAUUUUAUGAAUCCCAUUUUAGGUGGGGCGGGAACUUAGGGAAGAUGACCACUUAGGGUUUUAUGGCACUUCAGUUAAAAACAGUAAUUUAUGAAUAGGGCCAUGUUGUUGAAUAAACACUGAUGUUCACACCAGUGUUAAGAACUGGUGUCAGCAGCUGCCGUGGUGUUUGGGGCUCUGAGAAGACACCAACACUGACAGCCAACACUAACACUAACACCACUGAACACCAACUUUGAAAUCACCCGUCAAUGUACAUGUAUUCUCCGAUGAGUGCACCGCACCAUGAUAUCGCAAUAAAAAAAAAAUAUUGUCAGCAAUAAUCUACUGCUGCAUCGGACAUUGCAUGAUACAAGGUGAUAAAUUGACAUCCGUAAUCUGGACAGGUCAUGGUCAACAUCAAAAAUUUUAUUGACGACCUUCCCCGCAAAAUUGGUAAGACAAGACGGCGCACUCCGGUCGACAUAUUCAAUGAAUUGAAAUAUCUAUUUCAGGUAAUACGUAUGUGACGUUUUUCACCAAAAUAUCGGCAGCAAACACAAGUAGUUUUCGCAGGAAUUCGAAUAUUACAUUUUCAGCAAGAUCAGCAAUUACUUGUGUUACAAUUUGUAUC